GUUUUGAGGAAUCUCCACAUUUUUCAUAACACUAAUUCAAGCUAAUAAUAAAUUGGAAAAACAUCAUUACAGUCGAGUGGGAGGGACCUAAAUAUUUAAAGAGAGGACCAACAUGUUGCGAGUAAUCUCUAUUGGUUUUUUGGGUUAAUGUUUCUAAUUGUUACAGUUGCUAGUCAUAGCUUUUUUUCAAUUUCUUUUUAUUGUGUAAAUUUG
rnacentral:misc_RNA from 1 species